rnacentral:lncRNA from 10 species
CCCUUAGCUCUCUGUAGGUAGAAAGAUAAACACAAAUUCUGUUCAAAAAGGCUCAUAAUUCAUUAGGGACAGUGAGAAUGAAAGAGGUAAAUAAUGAACUAUUAUACUGGAUACUACUGCUACUGGAAACGAGACUUUAUCAUUAAAAUAAUUUACUUUAAAAGCAGGAACAGAAAACAAGGAUAGCAAGUGUUUGGAUCAAGAAUCAAGAAUGAGGCAAAUGGAUGGACGCAGUAAGACUAAAGUUCAAAGAUAAAAGAGAAGCAUCUGUCAACUGAUGAAGGAACUGUCUUUACAGAAAAUAAGAAGACACACAGAGACAACUGGGAGAAAGCCAUGUGAAGAUGGAGACAGAGAACAAAGGUCUAUUGCCACAAGCCAGGGAAGACCAAGAGCCACCAGAAUAUGGAAGAGACAAGGAAGGAUCCUCCCCUAGAGACUUCGAAGGGAUUGUGGCCCUGCUGACACCUUGACUUCAAACUUCUAGCCUCAAAAAUGUUAGAAAACAAACUACUGUCAUUUUAAACCACCCAAUUUGUAGUAGUUUCUUAUGGCAGUCGUUGUAAACUAAUACACUCAUUAAGUUGGUUCCUUUUGAAAACUGAGGGAAAAAAUGUUUUUCUUCUUGCUUUUGCUUUCUUGUGCAUAAAUAUCAAAAACUAAUUCAUAUAACACUAUAAAACAUAAUUUGGACAGAUUGAAGAAUUUAUAAUAUUUAACCCCCAAAACAAGUUCAAAUUUUAGCUAUUGUAAACAUAGAAAAAGUAAUAUACAAUACUAAUUGGCUCUUUUUACAGAAUUUUCAAAUAUCUGCAGCCAUGUAUUUCAAUAAAAACAUUAUUAAAUUAUUUAGAUGAAAUCUAGAAGUAUAUAAUCCCAUUUGUUCAUUUACAACUGAAUUUUGAUUUAAUGCCCCUUCUGUGAUCUACUGCAUCUGCUCUUCCCGUUAACAAUAACAACAAAUUUCCAUAAUGUGUUGGAGAACCCAAGUAAAGGAAAAUAGUGGUAUGAUGCUACUUUUUAUGUUCUUACUUUAAAGAUCUUAUAUUUUUGAGACAUACACUUCUUUGAAGAGCUGAUGAAAGCUUUUUCCAGUCCCAAAAAAUCUACAUACAAAUUUUUUACAUAGAAAAAUUUACAUGCUCUGUUACAGAAAUCACAAGCUCCUUGAAAUCUAUCUACAGCUUCUCUAAUAGUCCCCAGACUCCCAGGUUAAAAAUAUCUACAUUCAGG